UACAGAGGUCCCGAGCGUUGUUCGGAUUCACUGGGCGUAAAGGGUGCGUAGGUGGUGAGGUAAGUCGGAUGUGAAAUCUCCGAGCUCAACUCGGAAAUGGCAUUGGAAACUACCUUGCUCGAGGGUUGGAGGGGGGACUGGAAUACUUGGUGUAGCAGUGAAAUGCGUAGAUAUCAGGAGGAACACCGGUGGCGAAGGCGGGUCUCUGGGCAACAACUGACGCUGAGGAGCGAAAGCGUGGGGAGCGAACAGG
rnacentral:rRNA from 1 species